rnacentral:rRNA from 1 species
UACGAAGGGGGCUAGCGUUGCUCGGCAUUACUGGGCGUAAAGCGCGCGCAGGCGGUCUUCCAAGUCAGUGGUGAAAGCCCGGAGCUCAACUCCGGAACUGCCAUUGAAACUGUUAGACUUGAGGACGAGAGAGGUGAGUGGAAUUCCCAGUGUAGAGGUGAAAUUCGUAGAUAUUGGGAAGAACACCGGUGGCGAAGGCGGCUCACUGGCUCGUAUCUGACGCUCAGGCGCGAUAGCGUGGGGAUCAAACAGG